AAAGACGGUAUUACCCGUUUCUCAGUAAAUCUACUAUAAACUGUUUCGCAGCCCGAGAAAAACAUCGACACGUAACGCGUAACUUGCUAACGCGAAAACGAGACGAGUUUACGUAUGCCCAAUGCGUGCUCGGUGCGCACGCGUCUGUGCCAGUUCACUUUCCAGAUGUACCUGAAUAAUUCAUACCCACGCGCGUUAACCUCCACGGACAAAAGACAAGAACUGAUUUCACGAAGGAAGGCGUCUUCCAGAAUGGAAUAAGGUUCUCGGUACGUCUAGACGAGCGAGCAAACGUAACUGGGACGUGAAUUUGAAUUUACAAAAAGAAAUGUGUCUCGUAUCGUGCUGCCGACACGAGAAGAAACUGUACCAAGGGAUGCACAGGCGGUUACUUGUAAGGAAGGCUUAAGGUAUUUCAGAUGGAUCGUGAGAGUACGCGAUAAGCUACAAGUACCUAUAUUACAGCGCUCGAUCGGUAUUCUUCAAAUGUAAGCCAACAAGAACCUUAUCUCUCUUUCCUUUCUUUUGUUUCACUCCACCUUCAUUACAGACAGGGCCUGCGAUUAUUAUCCAACGUAGAUUAUAACCUAAGAGUUCCGACUUGGGAGCUUGGAAUCACAUGAAAUUCACGACUACGAAGUAACAAAAAACACGUUUUCCAAAGGAGGCAAAAGUCGUUCGAUGUAUAAUUUUUCUGUACGAGCCAGUUCGAUGACGGGGUGCACGAGGAGGUGAAGGAGGAGUCAGGAGGAGGGAGAACGGACUUGGUGACGAUGGAAUGGGAGGUUAAGUGACAAGAAUCGUUUUUUCCAUCACCGAGUGCCGAUGCUGAUGCUCCUGUUCUCUUUGUGCUGAUGCAGAAAACGCAAAAACUUGCCGCACGAAUCUUGCUCCGUGGUGAUGAAUGGAGUGACGCACUCAUAUCCCUCACACGUACGCAGUCCUCUCUCCAGCGUCCUUAAGAGUCGUUUUUGAAUCUCCCUAACGAGCCGCUAACACCUUCUGGAAUGGCCGAAUAAUGCGACCCUGUUAUACGCCAUUGGUUUUAUGCAAAUUCCUCUAUGGGUACACAAAGAACCAGGGAACAGGUAUAAUGCAUACCUGAAUCGCGUAUGGCAUUCGACUAGCCAGGGGAAUAGAGCCUGAUUGCUCAAUGAGAAAUACGAGAAUAUACAUAUAACCCGAUUUGAAAAUUGAAUCGUGCAUCGAGAGAAAGCUCGAAUGUUAAAUAUUGUUCAUGGGAACGACAUAUGCGUUCGACAAUCGAUAUCGAAUCUGAUACAAUGUCGGGACCUGUCAAAAACCACGUAACGCCUGUAUAAAGCUGGUAAACUGAUAAUACUACCAGGAAAUAGAAGCCUAAUUGGAUUUCUCUACGCGUCUCUAGACAACUGCCAGGGCUACCAACUAGCAUGGAGCAAGGAAAGAAAUGAAACCCGAGGAAGUAUAUCGUUUCAAUGGACAAUCUUCAUCCAUAUGAGUGUAUAACUUCGGUUAUAAAUUCCAAUGCUGUAUUAUUGCAAUCAUCGUCAUCGUCUAUCCAUACAGUCAUUAAACGCCACUCCGCUGACCAAUCAACUCGUUACCCAAAGUCAUGCGUGCGCAAAAGAGAAAAGUUCGUGUCGAGGAGAAAAAGGCGAUUAACAAUUUGUCCAUGGUCGUCCAUCAAGCUCGUUGAGAGUCGUAAAAAAAAAAGUCACCACCAUAUACAGUAUAUAUACAUACGUCGACCUCAGGACUGAAGAGCUAAGACGAAGAGGAGUAGUUUCUCCACCGAAUGUAUAUUCGGAUCUUGAAUCGCCAAGUCAUUCGGUCCAUCCCGACUUCGAUGUUCAAAGUCAUUAAACCCAGGUCCCCACGUAGAAACCACGCACCUUGCAGCUUCGAGUAUCAGUGCUAAGGGAAGUACCAAGAAACCUGGAGAGUCAAUGGCAAAGAAAACAUGGCUACCGGAUUGUCGUCUCGUCAAAUAGGGAAAAGCCAAACACUCUCGACUGCCUCGGCUACGACUCCCUUGAGUGUAAAGUAAACGCGGAGGAGCUUCCAGUGAAUUGACCCGUUCACGCCUUGGAUAUUCGUAUGUACAGUACAUUGAGGAAACGGUGGUUAACGCAUUUGUAUGGAUAAGACAUAUCCAAGUUUACAGAUUGAGAUAUUUCACUAGCAGACUGUACCUGGUAGAUAUAGAUUUGUAAUACCGAAGUGCAACAACUGUAAGCAGCUCCAUCUGGAUUAAUGAAGCAUGGAUGUGAAUUGACAGUGGAAAAAUUCUAAUUACACUCUGGUCAUGGACAUUCGAUGAAGAUUCGCCGAGUGAAGAUGCGACCUUACAACUGGCUUGCUUUCUUGGAAUAGGACUAACGAGAACCGAUGUAUCUUCAAGGCCGAUCUGACAUUAUUGCCAGGCUGUAAUUAAUAAUUAUACUCCGAAAUCACCGCCGGCCAUACUGCGCUGUAAUGUACUGAGAUUGUUAAGCCACGUGCACGCAACCAAAGCCUGUAAAAGAUUGGUGCAUUGAAUAACCAAGAGAAAAUGAAUGGAAUUUCUCAAAAUCACCAAAAUUCACGAGCGUUACGUCCGACCGAAAUUGAAGGGGGAUUUGAAAAAAAUCGUUCCAGGUCAAAGGUCACCGAAAAUCAUGAAACAGGAAAUGUCCCAGACACACGUGUCCACCUAGAGAGACUUGCUGUCACCCAGGAAGCACAAUUUCCCAGUUCUUCCAUAAGCAGCCUUCAAACGGAGCAGACAAGAGAGUGACAAAGAGAAGUCGAACCAUCUGCAUUUAAUUCGUAGCAGGCAUAAGCGUGACGCGAUGCUGGUCACCCUUAAUAAAUCACAGUGCCGGUGGGGCCUUUGCAAGAGGAGUAAGGAACCGCGCAAACCGUGUCAAACGUAUAAAGAGUCUGUGGCAGGAUACAUAUAUAUACACGCUAAGAUCUCGUUCCGGGAUAAAGCGCGGCAGAGAGCCGCGGAUGGAUUAAACCGGGACAAGAACAAAGAGUAGAGCCCCAUAAAGACAGUAUGUAAAAGGAUACCCGACGAUUUGUCGUAGUUGGCAAAGGGAAUUAAUCGUCCGCCGUGAUUGCAAGCGUAUCCCAAGAGCACGGCGAAGACGUUGAGUAUAAACGAAAGCAAGCGUUGCAGGUUUAUCUGCUUGAAUUUACGUGGCACGUGUUUGUCGCUGGUUGCGUACAGAUACAAAUUGCAGGGGUAAAUUUAAGCGCACCUAGAGCAUAAGACGAGAGAGGAGAUCUAGUAGUCGUAAUGGGGGGGUGGACGACGGGGAGAAGUCCUCGAUGUUGUUAAGGACGACUAGUGAGAAACAUGGCGGACACAUUUAUAGAAUAGUACGCGAAGGAAUGGAAGAGAAAAAAAAGAAAAAUAUUUCAUGGGUUAUAUAUCGCGGGUGGUCCGCACCCUGGGAGCAAUUAAUUCCCUCGUAAGUCCGUUAGUCAAUCGACGCGAUAUAUUUCAUUCUAGUCGCUCUGUUUCAAUCUUACUUUUUUUUUCCAAACUUUUCUCCCCGUCCUUCGCCGCUGUGGCAGCCGCGAUGUUUCCGUCGGGCCCCUUACACCGGGUCGUGUCUCUGUUUAGGCGAGUAACUUCCGUAAAAAUACACAGCCAGACGCCAGAAGCGUCUUGGAGAAAUUACGAGGACGAGAAUUCUCGUAUUAACGUGAUUAUAUACGCGCGUUGAUAUCUUAUAUCGUUUUUAAUGAUUAUCAUUUCGAUAAGUCCUAGGCGACGCGUGGCUACUGGCGGGAUAUUUAAAAUUCUUUGACUAGCUUCCAUGCAAUAUAUUGAUACCGGGAGAAACGCGCGAAUACCGCUGAGUGGAUUGACGAGGGCCUCUUGGAAAUUGAUUACGUCAAUUUUCGGCACACUAAAUCUUCCCGUGUUUAUAUGACUGAUACGGUGGAUUCGUUAUAGACUCGUCGUGCAGCCGAUUUGUCUCAGAGGAGAGAAAAGAAUAAUUGGAAAAGGGCAUAUGAGGAAAUCGAGUUUUACGUGCGGUUAAAAAAAACUUAUAUGUAAGGCUGUGCGAUGGGAAUUUAUUAUUUCGUAGAAAUUUCAAUGGGCCUACUGUACCUACAAGUUGUAUAGGCAACACUGAAGAAUUGAAUAUACUAUACUUAUGUUUUAGAUACUAAACUAUACAUGUACGGAUGAUUAUAGCUGUACCCAGAGCUGCCUGUAAAUUAUUAGCUCUAAUUAAAUACGUGGCUGGACUCCCUGUAUAAACAGCCGACGGAAAGGAGGUUCGUGCUGGAUUUUACUGGCGUUAGGAUAGUAAAAAAAAAAAUUAUACGCACGUGAUAAAAGGAAUUGAUAACCGAAUGGAUGCAAUAGGAGUCUGUUCUUUGCGAGAAGAAAUCUGCAUUACGCUUACGUGAUACGUAAAAGGUGUACAAAAACUACAUAAGGAUCUCUACCAUACAGAAUUCUCUGUACGAGUGCGUUGGAUUGUCUGUGGUGAAUUUACAAAAAUUAUCUCAACAAAAAAAGAUGGAGCUUUUAUCGUCAGAUUAUAUAUUCAUUUGGACUAGUAUUAUGUACCGGGGAUGUAUACCGACUGACUCCCGGUAAUAUUCCAAGUGACAGGAGUUUAUUGUGUAUGGUGGGAGGGCAUGCUAUUCUAGGACCCAUAAUAUUUUUAUAGUUUCUCGCUAAUGCGUGUUUAUUAUCCUGUCACCUUGUCACGGGGCCCAUUUUAACCAUUGGUUAAAUAAUCAUAGACGCGCCCCCUUAAGCUUGCUUAUCCAGGAAGGAGGUUCAUGGUAGAAAAAAGACUGACAACCCCAUUGGAUAUCGGAAUCCAAUGAUCUAAUACUGCGUAUAGACGGGUAUAGAAGAGUAUGAAGGAUUUGAUAAUUCGAGAAUGACCAUCGCGCUUGUUUAUGGGGUAAUACGUUAUAGCACGGUAACGUCCAUCAAGAACGCAGUGGGAGGUCUCAGCUGGAACCCCAUAAAACAGAAGAUGAUUUCCAUAGGAAUAUGCGUAGCACUACGUGUAAUCAAUUAUUAUGUAAAAUCUACGUCCAACGUCGAUCUCCCACAGUGUCAGACUCGUGGUUCUGGUCCAAGAACCACCGUAAAAUGUCCAUAACUCGUUAUGGUUUCCAAGGUGACGCUGUGAGGAGGAAGGAAGAAAAUUGAAUGAAGAAGAAACAGAGAGAGGCUAGACCAACAAUAAAGGACUAGGAUAUAGUAUAAGGAUAAGUGGAAACAAGAUGGCCGGGACUGAAUGUGUAUCCCUGUUUUAAAGUAGGUACCUGGGUAAUCAUCCCCGUUAAUGUACAGGUAUACAAAAAAAAAAUGUCACCCCCUGCAAUACCCAUAAUAAAACUGCGUAUAAUAUCGUCUGAAACGAAACUCCAAACCGAUCGUAUAACAUACGGCAACAUCCUGUAGGUGGAAUCGCGUUAUAAGAAAGUAACCUCGAGGCAGCCAUUUUCCUUGCGAGUCUCGUAACCCGAACCGAUUCACGGAAAUAAAACGAAUCCGCAUCGGCCUGCAGCCGUUUCCGCGGCUUAAUCACCGCACCCUGAUCGUAAAGCUCGCUGUAAAGCAUUCUCGUGGCUGCAGACCCGGGAGGUUCUGGAUUUGUAAACAGCAAAAGGGAAACCAGAAGAUCGUUCGAUUCCACGGUGGGUUAACGUCCCGGUUCUCCGAACGUGAAUCGUCGUUAUUAUUAAUUGACCAUAUUUCGAUCGGUUAAAAUCACGCACGACGAUCCCCCUUUUCUUGGAACCCAAUAAAACCGCUACUGCUCCACGUAUUCGUUAACUGUCCCGGGAGAUAAUUAAUCAGUGUAAUUAAUAUUCCCGCCAUAAUUAACACUAGUCCCCGUAUACGUACGUAUACACUAAUGUCACGCCGUAACGAAGAGUCUCGAUUUCGUGGUAAACCUCAUCGCCGGAAAUCUCGUUAUAAGUCGUACGACAAGACACGAGUGCUCCUUCUCCGAUUUCAUUGGUGAAAGAUAAAAAGGGAAUCAAGUAGAGAGACGGAGACAGAUCGAUAUACCUAUAGCGAAGAAGAGAGAGAUGCCCUAAGAGAAUUACGUAGCCAACCGAAUAUACGUGAACAUAACCUAAAAUAUGAACACGAGUCACAGCGUAAAGCAUUGGAGAAGGACUGUACGCGCGAUGCACUGACGACUUGCUGGAACCAGUAUACGGAGACAUAGAAGCUUCGCGACCCUGGCUGCCGGUUUUUCGCCAAGACUGGAUCUUUCAUCGGGAUCUAUAAUGGGGCCCGUGAGGAGUUUCUGGCUGGCAGCAAGAAGACAAGCCUGGAAGAAGCAACCCCACGGUGAGGCGUACAGGUUGAGCCCCGGGGUAUAUAAUCAACGAGAUGAGAGAGGUUCCACCUUUUCGAGUCUCCGGAGGAGACGGGGUCUCUUUUAUGGUCAAGGGAAAGAGAGGUAGGACGAGGAGUGACUGUCAGAUC